AUGUGCCAAGAAGCCUUCUGCUCGUGUGGGCUGGAGAAGGGUCAAUGGGUCAAAAGCGAGGCAGAUGAAGACAUGAACCUCAGGGGUGCCGCAUCUGAUAGGACCGGAAAGUUAAACAGUGCAGCUUUAGUGCAGGAGGUUUUUGUACAGACACUGAAUGAGGUUGUAUCACUGUGGUGGACUUUUGGUGGAGGAACUCGACUCUCUGUUGGAAGUGACACUCGGCCCACCCUCACAGUGUUGCCCCCAUCCAGUGUGGAGCUGAAGCAGGGGAAGGCUACACUGGUGUGUCUGGCCAACAAGGGUUUCCCCUCAGACUGGACGCUGAGCUGGAAGGUGGACUGCAACAGCCAGACGUCAGGUGUGAGUGUGAGUGGGGGUGUGCUGGAGAAGGGAAACGGCCUCUACAGCUGGAGCAGCACCCUGAGCCUCACUGAGCAGCAGUGGAAAAAUGCACAUGCAGUGAGCUGUGAGGCCAGACAGGGCAGCCAAAGCCCAGUCACCCACAGCUUGACCACAAAGCAGUGCACUGACGUUUGAGAGUGUACUAUAUACACGCUUAUAUAUAUAUUCUCUAUCAGUCUGUGCUGUUUUAGAGUUUCUGCUGAUGUGCUGCUAAACAGUUUUUAAGAUCCAAUUCAGAUUUUAUUGUCAAAGGUUCU